UUUAUUUUGAUUGUAAACUUAAUCAUACUGUAUGCUUAAAAGAAAGAAACAAAUACUAAAACAAAGAAAAGAAAACUGCUGAAUAGUGUUUAUGUCUAGUUAAAAUACAUGAACAGACAUCUCCUUUACAUUGAUACAUAUUCAAUGAAUGUAUGUUCUUGUUAAAAUAGAUUAAAGUCAAUUUUUCAUUUGUUUUAUAUCUAUAUUUUUCUAUUACCAUUGUGUACAUAUUCUGUCAUAGAUUGUCAGUUUAUUGUUAACAAUUUACUAGAUAACUGAGAGCUUUAAAUAAGGUUGAAGUUGCAUCCACCUUUUCAUGCAUGCAAUUGGUUACCAUCUAGUAAUUUUCAUGUCCUUCUGCUGACACAAACUAUUUCUUGAUGUUAGUUUUCUUUCCCUUAGCUGUAUAUCAGACUUUGUACAGAUCAUGUUUGUGUCCAUCAAAUAAAAUGUAAAAUGUA